UUGCUAUCUGCGAUAUGGAAGAUUCGAACCUGCCGCAGGUUCGGGUCUCACGUAGUGAGACAACGGAGCCGCUUGCGGCGACGGCCCGAAGGGCGAGCAAAGCGAGUCAUCCUGCACGAC
rnacentral:sRNA from 1 species